GGAAUAUUGGACAAUGGGCGAAAGCCUGAUCCAGCAAUGCCGCGUGAGUGAUGAAGGCCCUAGGGUUGUAAAGCACUUUUGUUGGGGAAGAAAAGCCAUGGGUUAAUACCCUGUGGUUCUGACGGUACCCAAAGAAUAAGCACCGGCUAACUUCGUGCCAGCAGCCGCGGUAAUACGAAGGGUGCAAGCGUUACUCGGAAUUACUGGGCGUAAAGCGUGCGUAGGUGGUUUGUUAAGUCUGAUGUGAAAGCCCUGGGCUCAACCUGGGAAUGGCACUGGAUACUGGCAAGCUAGAGUGUGGCAGAGGGUAGUGGAAUUCCUGGUGUAGCAGUGAAAUGCGUAGAGAUCAGGAGGAACAUCCGUGGCGAAGGCGACUGCCUGGGCCAACACUGACACUGAGGCACGAAAGCGUGGGGAGCAAA
rnacentral:rRNA from 1 species